GCGCUUCAGCAGCAUGUCUACUGAAAUUGGAAAUAUACAGAGACGAUUAGCAUGGCCCCUGCACAAGGAUGACAUGCACAUUCGUGAAGUGUUCCAUAUUUCA